rnacentral:rRNA from 1 species
UACGUAGGGGGCAAGCGUUGUCCGGAUUUAUUGGGCGUAAAGAGCGUGUAGGCGGCCAUACAGGUCCGUUGUGAAAACUCGAGGCUCAACCUCGAGACGUCGAUGGAAACCGUAUGGCUAGAGUCCGGAAGAGGAGAGUGGAAUUCCUGGUGUAGCGGUGAAAUGCGUAGAUAUCGAGAGGAACACCUGCGGCGAAGGCGGGUUGCUGGGCCGACACUGACGCUGAUGCGCGAAAGCCAGGGGAGCGAACGGG